rnacentral:rRNA from 1 species
ACGAACGCUGGCGGCGUGCCUAACACAUGCAAGUCGAGCGAUGAAGUUCUUCGGAACGGAUUAGCGGCGGACGGGUGAGUAACACGUGGGUAACCUGCCUUGUAGAGGGGGAUAGCCUUCCGAAAGGAAGAUUAAUACCGCAUAACAUCUUUUUUAUCGCAUGGUAGAAAGAUCAAAGGAGCAAUCCGCUACAAGAUGGACCCGCGGCGCAUUAGCUAGUUGGUGAGGUAACGGCUCACCAAGGCGACGAUGCGUAGCCGACCUGAGAGGGUGAUCGGCCACAUUGGAACUGAGACACGGUCCAGACUCCUACGGGAGGCAGCAGUGGGGAAUAUUGCGCAAUUGGGGGGAAACCCUGACGCAGCAACGCCGCGUGAAUGAAGAAGGCCUUAGGGUUGUAAAGUUCUGUUUACGGGGACGAUAAUGACGGUACCCGUGGAGGAAGCCACGGCUAACUACGUGCCAGCCGCCGC